UGUUCAUUAAGUUCUGUUGAAUAAAGAAUUGUAAAUUCUUAGGUUUAUUGAAUAU
rnacentral:tRNA from 1 species